rnacentral:rRNA from 1 species
GACGAACGCUGGCGGCGUGCCUAAUACAUGCAAGUUGAGCGAUGAAGAUUGGUGCUUGCACCAAUUUGAAGAGCAGCGAACGGGUGAGUAACGCGUGGGGAAUCUGCCUUUGAGCGGGGGACAACAUUUGGAAACGAAUGCUAAUACCGCAUAACAACUUUAAACAUAAGUUUUAAGUUUGAAAGAUGCAAUUGCAUCACUCAAAGAUGAUCCCGCGUUGUAUUAGCUAGUUGGUGAGGUAAAGGCUCACCCAGGCGAUGAUACAUAGCCGACCUGAGAGGGUGAUCGGCCACAUUGGGACUGAGACACGGCCCAAACUCCUACGGGAGGCAGCAGUAGGGAAUCUUCGGCAAUGGACGAAAGUCUGACCGAGCAACGCCGCGUGAGUGAAGAAGGUUUUCGGAUCGUAAAACUCUGUUGGUAGAGAAGAACGUUGGUGAGAGUGGAAAGCUCAUCAAGGGACGGUAACUACCCAGAAAGGGACGGCUAACUACGU